rnacentral:pre_miRNA from 1 species
AGAGGGGCCCUUUACCAUUCUGUAUAAAUGAGCUAUUCUAUUUGUACAGAUAUGGUAGGGGGCACAUUCAACCCUU